rnacentral:rRNA from 1 species
AGAGUUUGAUCCUGGCUCAGGAUGAACGCUAGCUACAGGCUUAACACAUGCAAGUCGAGGGGCAGCAUAAACUUAGCUUGCUAAGUUUGAUGGCGACCGGCGCACGGGUGAGUAACGCGUAUCCAACCUUCCGUACACUCAGGGAUAGCCUUUCGAAAGAAAGAUUAAUACCUGAUGGUAUGAUGAGAUUGCAUGAUAGCAUCAUUAAAGAUUUAUCGGUGUACGAUGGGGAUGCGUUCCAUUAGGUAGUAGGCGGGGUAACGGCCCACCUAGCCGACGAUGGAUAGGGGUUCUGAGAGGAAGGUCCCCCACAUUGGAACUGAGACACGGUCCAAACUCCUACGGGAGGCAGCAGUGAGGAAUAUUGGUCAAUGGACGAGAGUCUGAACCAGCCAAGUAGCGUGAAGGAUGAAGGUCCUACGGAUUGUAAACUUCUUUUAUAAGGGAAUAAACCCUCCCACGUGUGGGAGCUUGUAUGUACCUUAUGAAUAAGCAUCGGCUAACUCCGUGCCAGCAGCCGCGGUAAUACGGAGGAUGCGAGCGUUAUCCGGAUUUAUUGGGUUUAAAGGGAGCGCAGACGGGUCGUUAAGUCAGCUGUGAAAGUUUGGGGCUCAACCUUAAAAUUGCAGUUGAUACUGGCGUCCUUGAGUGCGGUUGAGGUGUGCGGAAUUCGUGGUGUAGCGGUGAAAUGCUUAGAUAUCACGAAGAACUCCGAUUGCGAAGGCAGCACACUAAUCCGUAACUGACGUUCAUGCUCGAAAGUGUGGGUAUCAAACAGGAUUAGAUACCCUGGUAGUCCACACGGUAAACGAUGGAUACUCGCUGUUGGCGAUAUACUGUCAGCGGCUUAGCGAAAGCGUUAAGUAUCCCACCUGGGGAGUACGCCGGCAACGGUGAAACUCAAAGGAAUUGACGGGGGCCCGCACAAGCGGAGGAACAUGUGGUUUAA